rnacentral:rRNA from 1 species
UAACGUAGGGUGCAAGCGUUGUCCGGAAUUAUUGGGCGUAAAGAGCUUGUAGGCGGUUUGUCGCGUCUGCUGUGAAAUUUCGGGGCUCAACCCCGAACUUGCAGUGGGUACGGGCAGACUAGAGUGUGGUAGGGGAGACUGGAAUUCCUGGUGUAGCGGUGAAAUGCGCAGAUAUCGGGAGGAACACCCGUAGCGAAGGCGGCACUCUGGGCCGGUACUGACGCUGAGGAGCGAAAGCGUGGGGAGCAAACA